GAUAAACGCUCUGUAAGUCUCUGU
rnacentral:siRNA from 1 species